ensembl:lncRNA
CUGAAUUUGUCUGUUUUACUACCAAAAGCACACUCUUUGCUACUCCUUCUAUUCUGUGUGUGGUUUUGAAAACUUACACUAGUAAAAAUGCUGUAUCUGAAUGUAACUUCUUGCAGCACACCUUUCCAGACAGGGAAAAAAAAUGCCAAGAAAUUAACCAGGAGAUUUUGACAUGUGUCUUCUGAACAGCAAGCUAAUUCUCAGCUUCCACACUUUGUGCUAUUUGAAUUGCGCUUUGCAGUCACAUGCUUCAAGCUAAUUGCUCCCAUGCAAAGCCUGUAGGAAGCAGAAAAGCAAAGUUCCUGUGGCAUAGUGACUGUUCUGGAGAAUGCUGUCAGUGAAUUUUCCAUUGCUGGGCACAUAUAAUGAAUGAGAAAAAGUGCAGAGAGCUUUGAGGAAUGGAUGAGCAGUUCCUUCCCUGCACUCCAGAACAUGAUGACUUGCAGCAAAUAUUUUUCGUCUGCAAUGGAGGGCACUGACAUCUGUCAGAGGGAAUUUUCGAUGAAGGGGACUGACCACUCACAGCAGGCAGUGAGCAGAGAAGAGGCAGAUGCAGCUCCAUCCCUGUGAGGUGCAUCCACUGGCAGUGUACUGCAAGACUGUGAAGAUGAAGUGAGGCCUAAAAGGUAACCUCUCUGUUGUGAAAACUGAGAGGAAAUAAAAAGAUGCAAGUUGCUAGUGCGUGUCCAAUCUGCCUGUAGUCCUUGGGAGGAUGACAAUUAUGUGAUACCCAGAAGAAGACAGAAUACAUUCAGGGUUUCUGGAUGUCUCCAGUAAUACAGGCUGAUGGAGAAAUGAGUUCCUCCUCCUGCUCUGCUUCUCACAUGCCACCACAAGAAAAGAUUGUCAUUUUCUGUUUGAACUGGACUUAUGUGACUUAGAUUAUAUCUGCCCAAUGUGUUGUGAAUUUGUUGAAGUGUGUUUAAAGACAUGUUGGCAUGUCCAGCUGUUAAAUGAAAAAUGUGUUUUACUGCCGCACUGUAGGGGAGCCUUAGAGAAGUGCAGUCAAUCUCAAUUAAUAUGAAAAGGAUCUAGCCAUGUGUAUACUGAAAAAGGUUUGCUUUCUGCCAUCAAAAUGCUCCCCAGCUGGAUAUUGUUAAUAAAUAAUUGUCUGGAUACACUUACUACCGUACAGUUCAAAAUAUUCACAUUUUAUGGGUAGUCAAACAAAUUAGGAAGCAGAAAAAUUGGAAGAUCUGAGUUACCAUUCCUGGAUAUUUCAAGACAUUUUAUGUAAACUGAUGAUACGAAAGAUGACUACUAUGGUUGUACAUGAAAUACUGAAGUUCUCUAGCUGCUGCCUGCUCUAAAGGGACUUCUCUGUUUAAAUCUACACAGAAUUUUCCUCAGAUUUCCUGGUUUGAGGGUUCAACACCUGAAUCUUUUGUUAUUUCUUUUUCUAAAAGUAUCUCUUGAUAUAAUGUAGUGAACUAUUGAUCCUAUUACUUAGAAACUCAUGUAAAAUCCUAUUAAAUGUUACUGCAGUGCAUUUUAUUUAGAUGAAGGCUGUGUAUCAUAGCACAACAAAUCUGUGUUUCCUUCAACUAUGAAAAAAUCUAACCAGUAAAAGGGAAGUAAUACACUUAAUAUUGAUCCACUUCAUUACAUUUUACACAUACAAACAUACAUUAUAAUUAUUUUCUAGGCCCUUUUUGUUGUGCAAAUUCUUUUCAUCACAGCUAGGAUAUCCAAAGAUGCUUAAAGAACUUGGAUGCUCAAAUUCCAUUUGUUUUUCUCCACUUGCUUCUGCUUACUGCAGAAUUUUUGCAGUGGAGAGAAGUCUGGGAAAUGUUUAACAGAGAGCUCACCUCCAAAAUAUUAUGCUCACUUUUUUUCUUCUCUUAGAUUCCAGGAGUUCAGAGCAUGGAAGGAAUUUGUGCUUAGUUGAUGUUUCCAAGGUUUUUGUCUGAAAGACUUGAGCAAUUCCUCCCUUCUUAGUAUUCCAGGACUUUCUUUUGGUUGAACUAACUUUCUAGCUGGCGAUUUAAGAUCAGUUCUGUGAGUCACCCCGAAUCCACUCUUGAGCCUCAGUAUCUAAGAUGGAAAUUAAAAGUAAAAGCCUGAUUUUAUCAGCUGAAAUCAGAACUCAGAGUGGUUUUAAUUCCAACUCAAAAGUUCAAAUUAAAAUCAGGUCCAGACACAGGCAUUUGAGUUAUAAACACUUCUUCAUCUGUAACCUAACAGAUCUUUUGAGGAGAUGAAAAGGUCUUAUGAAAGACAGGCCUAAGCUUAGCUAAAUGGUCAAGCAAAAUAUUGUAAGAUGGCCCUACAUGUACAGUCUGAGCUAUGGCUUUUGUUCUAACAUAUCAAAAUAGUAUUUACAAUCAGCUGCACAGCCGUAGGCUAGUUAGCUUUCUUGUGCUGCUAAGUAAGCUGGGCUAGGACUCUUCCAGUAAAAACUGAAAGGAUGGUUUAGAAAAUGAAUAAUAGCAAGGAACAGUGAUCCACUCCAGUCCUGUCCACAACAAUCCCACUCUACAUAUAUCCUCUGGUAAUUUAAAAAUAUGUUGUGUGAUUUCUGGUGAAAUAUUCUGUUUGACUGUAGAUAGGCUGUAGAUAUAGGUUUUUCCACAGAGUCAUCUGGCUCACACGGCUUGGUAUGAACAAUAUAGUUAAAUGUAAGAACCUGGAUCAUAGAAUAGUAGAAUAUCCCGUGUUGAAAGAGAUGCAUAUGUCCAACUCCUAAAGUCAAGGCAGAGAGGAAGCCCUGCAAAUGGAGGACUGAGAAAAUGUAGUAACAACAAAAAGCCUCAAGGGAAUGGCAGAUAAUGAUCUGAGGCUUAGUUAUUAAAAAUAAAAUGUAUGAUCACAUUAUGUAUGAUGUAUUGUAAUACGUAUAUAUAAAAUAUAACAUGUAUAUAUGUAUGCAUAAUAUGUAUAUAUAUGUAUAUAUACAACACAAUAUAUAUAUAUAUAAUAUGUAUAUAUAAUGUACGAUCAUAUUAUGAUUACAUAUCUCUGUACGUGGACACAGUAUAUUGUCACUCACUAUCAGUGCCAGGUUAAAGACUAAGGUUCCUUAGAAACUGGACUGUAGCUUAUACAGAACUGUGUUGUGCCCCAUGGAUACACCCUACAGAUGAGGUUCAUUACAGGCAGUAAACUGCUUAAGCUAUUUAAUUGAAAUGUGCUUUUUGCUGUAGUUAGGUAAUGACCUGUUGUUCUGAAUCAGCCACCCACAGGAAAUGAAACAGUUGAGUUAUCCACUUGGAGAUGGAGCCUUGAUGUCGCUAUCACCUUGGAGAUAAUACUGCAGUGGUCAGGGUGCAAGAAUAGGACAUCAUACUUUAGGGUUAAAUAAUUUUUGUGAAAGCACAGUAACUUUAGAAUAGGAGAACAUUCUGGUCAUGGCAUUGCACACCUGAGUUGUAGUAAUGCUUCUACUCACAGAAUGGUUAAAACUGGAAGAGAUUUCUGAAGAUCCUGUGUUUCAUUCCUCCUGCUCAAGCAGAGACAACUUGAGCAGGUUGCCCACGAACAUGUACAGGUGGCUUUUGAUGGUGUUAAAGGAAAAUGACUCCAUAGCUUCCCUGGGUAACCUAUGCCAGUGCUCCGUCACCUGCACAAUAAAGAAGUAGUUCCUGAUGUUUAUAUGGAAUGUCUUAUGUUCCAAUUUUUGCCCAUUGCCUCGUGUCCUGACACUGAAAAGAGCUUCACUCUAUCUUAAUUGCACACCGUCUCAAGAUAUUUUAUAAACAUUGAUAAGUUACCCCCAGAAACUCCUCCAGGCUGAAGAGUCCCAGCUCUCAGACUCUCUUCAUAGGAGGAGUGCUCGAUCAUCUUGGCAGUUAUGCUGAACAUUUUCCAGUACAUCCAGGUCUCUCCUGUACUGGGACCUCAGAACAGAAUUCCACAUGCAACCUCACCAAAGCAGAGGUGAAGGAUCACCUCUCUUGACCUGCUGACAAUACUUUGCCUAAUGCAAACAAGAAUACCACUAGCACUGUUAGUGACAAGGACUACUAUUAACCUCUAGGGUACUCCACUCAUUGUUGGCCUCUAAUAGAUUUUGCACCAGUGACCAUUUCUCUCUGCAUCUGGACAUUCAACUACACGUAGUUAAGCUCAUAUAUAAUCCUCUGUCAGGGAGAGUAAGCAGGGCCUUAUAAUGUUAGUAAGAACACUCAAUCAAAAAUACUUUUUACUCAUAGGUCCAGGGCUUCGAUGUGAAGCAUCUUUGCUUGUGAGUUCCAGGCCAUGAGGGACACCAAGGUAUAGACUCUGCUGAGCUCUGCUGAGGGUAGAACCCUGGCAGGAGCUUCUUGGGCUGCUGCAGACCAAGUCAGAGAAGAAGAGCUCACGUGGGCUAAGACACAACUUUCUUAACUGAUUUAAAUUUUAGACUCCAAUGUUCUAUUUUUUAUUAGCCCACAGAUUAUAUUAGUCCAUGUUAAAGAAAGGUCUUUGAAACAUAGAGGCUUAAACAAAUAUCUUUGAGAGAAAUGAAAGAUUUCCUUGGAUAUAUGUGCUUGUUUAGCUGAAUUUUACACAUGAAAUACACAUGCACUGGACUUGGUCUGCAAUGGUUUAUUGCCCAUCUUGGUCUGCAAUGGUUUAUACCUAUCUAGCAGCAAAAUGUUAUUGUUCAGUGAGAUUAUUCUGACUGAUAACCAGAGUUUUAAAAGCAAUAACAAGGAAUUAGUAUGUUAUUGUAGAAGAAAAGUUUUAACUUUGCAAGGCAGGAAAAUUCUUAUCUUGCAGAAAAGUCUAUACAUAAUUCUGCACCUGUCAAGAAACAAAUUCAAAAUUCAGUUGAUUUUAACAGUAAGCUUUCAGAUUUUGAAAAAGGGAUUUUGUUUUACUAAAUAUUUGUCUCAGAAAUAUGCAGCUAAAGAAGAAUUAAGGGAACAGUUUGUGUGUGUUGCUUCUCUGCACCAAACAGAAGAGCAUAUCUGCUUUACUUUUUCUCAAGGUUUCCUAUCACAAACAUUCAUUGUGUAAAGUGAGCUCUGACACUAGUUGUGUUCUUUCUGAUUAAUUUAGAUACUGUUAAUACUGCUAUUGUUGUUUUUAUGUAUAGCUUCUGUAUAUGAAGUCCUAUAAAUGUAUAGGACUGUGAAAAAAACAUGGGCCAUUUCUCUAUGGUUUAGUGUAUGAAAGGAAAUGGUCUCAUAUCUUUGUUAAGAAAAAAAUGUCAUUGAAAGCAAAUAAAAAACUAGAAUCUCUCACAAGGGGCACAUUUAAUUUUGGAAAUUAACAAGUGAAAGCCAAAAUUAUAUUUGAAAAUGCUCAGUUUAAUUAAUGUCAGUUUUACCUAUUCAUAUGCAGCAAAAAUUUUGACUAUUUUGGAAAUAGUUAUUACCAAUAAACAAAAAUUUUAAUAUUAUGCUAUUCCAACUUAUCCAUGGCCCUUUUAUUAUUAUGAGUGUUACUGAUUAAAAAUGUGAGGCAGAAACAUGAUAUAGGUAUAUGACCUUGAUUUUAAUGCCAUACAUUUUGAAUAUAGAUUAGUCAUCUCAGCAUUUACAAAUCAGGCUGAAGUUUGACAUAUUCAUAAAACAACAAACAAGUAGAGAAUUGAUUCAUAGAAGUUGUGGGCAAUUAAUACACAUAGAAAUGAGAAAAUGAAGAAUAGGUAUUUUACUGUGAAUAAGUCUCCUACAGUAAAGUCUGAUAAAACACAUAGACAUUUUGUGUAGAGAUGUUUUUUGUUUCUUACUUUCUUUCUUUUUUUUUUUUUUUUGCUAUAUACUAGAUCUGAGAUUAUUAUUCCUGCAGGAAAAUUUAUAACCUACCUUCAACAAAAGUAAUGUCAUUCCAUAAAUUAAGUUCAAAUCAUAAUUUUCAUUCAGGCUAUGCUGUCUUUAACUGGUAAACUCCUGGCAGCCUCUGAGGAGUCUGCAGUGCUGCUGCCACAUUGCUUUUGACUUAAAGGAAAUAGCCAUGAAUCACUUUUAUUGAUGAUCAUGGUUGUGUAGCAUCUCUAUAGCUGCUGCCUUCAUAAAUGAGGGACAAAAGAGGGUACAUGUUUUGUGUCUUUUUAUCUUCUGCUAUUCAUGAAACUGAGUGAGAGGAAAGAGAACAACUGGAGUGAUUCUGUGCCCAAGACAAUUGGUCUUCACUCACUGUGGCCCAGGCAAGCCGUAAGGUUGGACACUCACAAGAGGAUGUUGAGGAAGGACACACAUGGUGGAAAACUCUUGAUACUUCCAUGGCUUCUUCAUCUGUUUCAAAAAGUAAAAGACCAAAGGUCCAAUGACUUUCUAGAUAUCAGCCUGAAAUAUUCUUUUUUUUUUUAAUGAAGAAUUAAAAAAUUAAGGCAGCAACUGCAUGUUUUUUCUCAAUUGUCUUAUGCAAACUCUAACUGUGAACAUUCCCUUCAGUUUGUAACAGAUUUGAUUCACCUAAUUCACUAGAAAGGCAUCAGUAUUGGCAUCCUUACAUAGCUCAAGAACAAUGUAUACUCAACAGUAAGCCAGAAUAUUCAUUAUCUGGACUUUACAAUGAUUUUUUGACAAAACAAAAAAAAAUUAACUUCUAUUUGUGCUGACCUUCAAGUGUCUUUUUUUUUGUCAUGGAAAUCAAUAUUAUUUAUUCAGAAGCAGCUCUCUGGUUUAAAAGAGAAUCCUCAUCUAUUUCUACUAUUGUUAUGUUUGUAUUUGUAAGCAAACAUUGAUGUUCUGUCACACAGAAACUCAAUUGCUGAAAUGAUGGUUUCAUUUCUUGUUCAGGAUACUCACAAAUAUUCCAGCACUUAUUCACCAGAUUUAUGGGCAUUGUCAUGAUGUCACAGAUGAGCUUUUGAGUAGAUAAAGCCACUGUGAUUUAUCUUGUUCUAUAAUCUUGCUAAGACCCAAACAGAGAGAUUUUAUUGAUUUUUAAAUGUACAACAGAUUAAAAAAUUUGGCAGUGACCAUAAAACUGAUAAAGCAUCAAAAAAUGUCAUUUUAUACCAUAAAAAUGUGUCAGAGAGCACAAAAAGAGCCUUUUUAAAG